GACGACGAUCCUACGGGAGCAGCAGUGGGGAAUAUUGCACAAUGGGCGCAAGCCUGAUGCAGCCAUGCCGCGUGUAUGAAGAAGGCCUUCGGGUUGUAAAGACUUUUCAGCAGUGAGGAAGGUGGAUAUGUUAAUAGCAUAUUCAUUUGACGUUAGCUGCAGAAGAAGCACCGGCUAACUCCGUGCCAGCAGCCGCGGUAAUACGGAGGGUGCGAGCGUUAAUCGGAAUUACUGGGCGUAAAAGCGCAUGCAGGUGGUUUGUUAAGUCAGAUGUGAAAGCCCGGGGCUCAACCUCGGAAUUGCAUUUGAAACUGGCAAACUAGAGUACUGUAGAGGGGGUAGAAUUUCAGGUGUAGCGGUGAAAUGCGUAGAGAUCUGAAGGAAUACCGGUGGCGAAGGCGGCCCCCUGGACAGAUACUGACACUCAGAUGCGAAAGCGUGGGGAGCAAACAGGAUUAGAUACCCUGGUAG
rnacentral:rRNA from 1 species